GGCUGGAGUGUAGUGGUACGAUCUUGGCUUACUGCAACCUCCACCUCCUGGGUUCAAGCGGCCCUGUCAUCUCAGCCUCCUGAGUAGCUGGGGUUACAGAGCUCCUUUCUGACAACUUGCAAUUGAUCCAACAUUUGAAACCUUAUGCAGGAGCCGGACAGCUUGGUUUUGAAUUAUAAUCUUACAAAUUACUGGCUGUGUGUUAAAUCUUUAAAUUACUGGCUGUGUGACUUUGUAUGAAGAAGAAAAUGCUUUGUCAAGAAAUUCUUUUUUGGACUGAAUUCAUUGUUGCAAAAGAUAGUUAUUUUGGAAAGAAAUUGCUUUAACAGUUUCUCCUGCUACACUAUGACUUGUAUGAAUACAUCCAUAGGCAUAGCGAUAGAAUAAUGAACAGAAAAAUUAAGAAGAACCUGAAAUUAAUAAAUACCUAGGUAUUUGUCAGGUGAGUUAUGGAUGUUGGCAGUUGAUGGAUUAUGUUACAAAGCACAUAAAUGCUGUAUUUGCGUUAGUGUACCAUUUAGCAGCCAUACUCCAGCAGAGUCCACAAGUAUAUGAGCAUGAAGUCCCUGAAGACAUUGGUAAUUGAUUACAAUCAAUCUGUAAAUGAUAUUUAGAUGAUCUUUAUGAGUUGCUUUCCUCUUCUCAUCUUUCUUGGUGUAUCGGUGAAGACUCUAAAUGAUUGAAUUGAAU
rnacentral:lncRNA from 10 species